GCAUAAACCAGUUACAGCAGAUGAUGGAUGCCUUGGCGUCAUCAGGCGAUGAAGGGCGCAGCAAGCUGCGAUAAGCUUCGGGGAGCGGCAUACACGCUUUGAUCCGGAGAUGCCCGAAUGGGGAAACCCGGCACCGGUAAUUCGGUGUCACUUCGAGAUGAAUACAUAGUCUCGAUAGAGCAACACGCGGAGAAGUGAAACAUCUCAGUAUCCGCAGGAACAGAAAGAGAAUCGAUUCCGUCAGUAGUGGCGAGCGAACGCGGAACAGCCCAAACCGUCGGGAUUUAUCCUGGCGGGGUUGUAGGACCACGAUAUGGAAAGCUUAGGUUAGGAAAACCGUCUGGAAAGUCGGGCCAAAGAGGGUGAUAGCCCCGUAUUCGAAAACCGAAGCAGACCUAGUGGUAUCCUGAGUAGCACGGGACACGUGAAACCCCGUGUGAAUCCAUGCCGACCACGGCAUAAGGCUAAAUACUCGAUGACGACCGACAGUGAACUAGUACCGCGAGGGAAAGGUGAAAAGCACCCCUGUUAGGGGAGUGAAAUAGUAACUGAAAUCAUCUGCUAACAAGUCAGUCGGAGCCCCCUUGUGGGGUGACGGCCUGCCUUUUGUAUAAUGAGUCUGCGAGUUAUUGUCGGUAGCAAGCCUAAGCCGCUAAGCGGCGCAGGCGCAGCGAAAGCGAGUCCGAAUAGGGCGCUUAGUUGUCGGCAAUAGACCCGAAGGGGAGGUGAUCUAACCAUGGCCAGGAUGAAACUUCGGUAACACGAAGUGGAGGUCCGAACCGGUCAAUCUUGAGAAAUUGUCGGAUGAGCUGUGGUUAGGAGCGAAAGACUAAUCAAACCCCCUGAUAGCUGGUUCUUUCCGAAAUAUAUUUGGGUAUAGCCUCGGGCGCUGAUUUGCGGAGGUAGAGCACUAAAUAAGCUAGGGCCCCUACCGGGGUACUGAACUUAAUUAAACUCCGAAUACCGCAGAGUGAAGCCCGGGAGUCAGACUGUGGGGGAUAACCUUCAUAGUCGAAAGGAGAAUAAUCCAAACCAUCAGUUAAGGUCCCAAAAUACGGCUCAGUGUAAAAGGAUGUGAUUUUGCUUAGACAAUGGGGAUGUUGGCUUAGAGGCAGCCAUCAUUUAAACAGUGCGUAACAGCUGACCCAUCGAGCGAAAUUGCGCCGAAAAUGAUCGGGACUUAAGCCGUAUACCGAAGCUAUGGAUUUGGCCGCAAGGCCAAGUGGUAGGAAAGCGUUCCAAGUGCAGCGAAGUGGAAGGGGUAACCGACCAUGGAGCGCUUGGAAGUGAGAAUGCAGACAUAAGUAACGAUAAAGAUGGUUAAAAUCCAUCUCGCCUCAAUUCCAAGGAUUCCUGGGGAAGGUUCGUCCUCCCAGGGUUAGUCGGGAGCUAAGACGAGGCCGUAAGGAGUAGUCGAUGCACAGCUGGUUCAAUAUUCCAGCACCACCUUAUUGGAGUUCGAUGCCAAGGAGUGACGGAGAAAGUUAACACGAGCGGGGCGCUGAUUUCCGUUCAAGUCCGUAGGUUGUCCGGGAGUAAAAUACCGGAUCUAUCUGAAAGACGAUGAAAAGCUGAGGCUACGGCCGAGGCAAUUCGUGUGAUACUCGGCUUCCAGGAAAAGCUUCGUGGCUAUUUGAUAGGGUGCCCGUACCGUAAACCGACACAGGUGGAAUAGAUGAGUAUUCUAAGGCGCGUGGGUUAAAUCUCUCUAAGGAACUCGGCAAACUGACCCCGUAUGUUAGCUAUAAGGGGUGCCUCGCAAGAGGCCACAGAUAAGAGUGUCAACCGACUGUUUAGCAAAAACACAGCUCUCUGCUAAGUCGCAAGACGACGUAUAGGGAGUGACAUGUGACCAAUGCGGAAAGGUGAAAGCGUGAGGUGCAAGCUUCGCGUCUAAGCCCCCGUGAAUGUCGGCCGUAACUAUAACGGUCCUAAGGUAGCGAAAUUCCUUGUCGGGUAAGUUCC
rnacentral:rRNA from 2 species